rnacentral:rRNA from 2 species
CCCGAAACGCAUUGAGGUGCGGCCUCGGGUGGUCUGUGCAGGGGGUAGAGCACUGAUAGGGCUAGGGGGGUAACCUCCGAACCCUGUCAAACUCCGAAUCCCUGCACAUAAAGCCCGGGAGAAAGACUGUGGGGGAUAAGCUCCAUGGUCGAAAGGGGAACAGCCCAGACCGCCGGCUAAGGGCCCGGAGAGGUGGCUAAGUGGUAAAGGAUGUGGCGCACCUAAGACAACUGGGAGGUUGGCUUAGAAGCAGCCAUCCUUUAAAGAGUGCGUAACAGCUCACCAGUCGAGGUGCGCUGCGCCGAAGAUGUAACGGGGCUCAAGCCACCCCCCGAAGCCGCGGGUCUGCACCGAUGAGGUGCAGGCGGUAGGGGAGCUUUCCGCUGUAGGGUGAAGGCAGACCCGCGAGGGCUGCUGGACGAGGCGGAAGUGAGAAUGCGGACAUGAGUAUGCGAGAGGAGAGUGAGAAUCUCUCCCCCCGUAAGCCCAAGGGUACCUGGGGAAGGGUCGUCCGCCCAGGGUUAGCCGGUACCCUAAGGUAAACCCGAAAGGGGUAGCCGAAGGGAAGCUGGUUAAUAUUCCAGCGCCACCUGCAAUCGAGGUGCAAGGGGUGACGCAGGAGGGUAGGCGCCGAGGGUAAGUGGCACUCCCUUCCAAGCGGUUAGGGCGUUGAUGGGUGUAGGUAAAUCCGCACCCGGAGCCUGAGCCGUGAUGGGGAGGACCCGUGAGGGUCCAACGGUGCUGACCCCACACUGCCGAGAAAAACCUCGUGCACCGUUUGAGAUUGCAGGUGACCGUUCCGCAAACCGACACAGGUGGGCGAGCUGAGAAGGCUCAGGGGAGCGGGAUAACCCUCGCCAAGGAACUCGGCAAGUUGACCCCGUAACUUCGGGAGAUGGGGUGCCGCGGUAGGGUGAACCCAGGGGAAGGGGCAACCCGGAAACUGGGGGAGCCCGAGGCGGUCGCAGAGACCAGGCCCUGGCGACUGUUUACCAAAAACACAGGCCUCUGCAAACUCGUAAAGAGGAUGUAUAGGGGCUGACGCCUGCCCAGUGCCGGAAGGUUAAGGGGAGGGGUGAGGCCGUAAGGCGUAGCUCCGACCCGAAGCCCCGGUAAACGGCGGCCGUAACUAUAACGGUCCUAAGGUAGCUGUGCUGCCUGCCUGCAGGGUAACCUGCAGGGCAAUACCCGGCUGUAUGCGGGAAAACCCUUAGAGCUCUUCCUACUUGGGGAGGUUUUCUCCAAGUAAAAAUGGAAGAGAUUGGGCAAUCCGCAGGAAACCCCGAAAGGGGGAUCCUCAGAGACUGUACGCCGGGCAUCCAGCUUCCCAGCGAGGUGCGGUGUGAUGGAGCUUCAUCCAAAGUGGGUCGUUGGGUUCGUGGAUGGAGAAGGAUGUUUCUAUGUGGGUGUGAACAAGAACGAGGCGAUGAGCUUGGGUUAUCAGGUGUUGCCUGAGUUCAGAGUCGUUCAACACCGGCGAGACAUCCAAGUCCUUUACGCGCUCAAGCGCUUCUUCGGAUGCGGUACGGUCAGAAGAAACCACGAAGACAGAUACGAGCUCAGGAUAAGGAAAUUUGAGUGUCUGAAAAAGGUCGUUGAAUUCUUUCAAAAUCAUCCACUCAAGACGAAGAAGAACGUCGAUUUCAAGAAAUUCAGCAAGAUCAUCAAGAUGAUGGAUGAAGGAAAGCACCUCACGAGGGAAGGGCUGAUCGAGAUCGUGCAGAUAGCUCUCGAAAUGAACACGGGAAAACAUGAGCAGCUGAAGCAGAUCUUGUGCGAAUUGACUGGGAAGGCUGGAUGAAGAUACAGUCCACCCUUGGUUCGAAAGACCAAGAUGAUGGUGAGCGAAAUACCUUGUCGGGUAAGUUCCGACCUGCAUGAAUGGCGUAACGACUGGGGCGCUGUCUCGGCGAGGGACCCGGUGAAAUUUCAGUGAGGGUGAAGAUGCCCUCAACCUGCGGCUAGACGGAAAGACCCCGUGGAGCUUCACUGCAGCCUGGUAUUGGAUUCUGGCACACCGUGUACAGGAUAGGUGGGAGGCUGUGAACCCGGCUCGCCAGGGUCGGGGGAGCCACCGGUGGGAUACCACCCUCGGUGUGUCGGAAUUCUAACCUGAACCUGUGAAGAGCAGGUUGGGGACAGUGCCAGGUGGGCAGUUUGACUGGGGCGGUCGCCUCCUAAAAAGUAACGGAGGCGCGCGAAGGUCGGCUCAGGUGGGUUGGAAAUCCACCGUUGAGUGCAAGGGCAUAAGCCGGCCUGACUGUGAGGCCGACGGGCCGAGCAGAGGGGAAACCCGGCCCUAGUGACCCGACGACUCCGGGUGGAAGGGUCGUCGACAACGGACAAAAGUUACCCCGGGGAUAACAGGCUAGUCUCGCCCGAGAGUUCACAUCGACGGCGAGGAUCGGCACCUCGAUGUCGGCUCAUCCCAUCCUGGGGCUGAAGCAGGUCCCAAGGGUUAGGCUGUCCGCCUAUUAAAGGGGUACGUGAGCUGGGUUCAGACCGUCGCAAGACAGGUCGGUCCCUAUCGGCCGCAGGCGCAGGAGGUUUGAGGGGGGUCACCCCUUGUACGAGAGGACCGGGGUGAGCGGGCCUCUGGUGUACCGGCUGUCCUGCCAAGGGCAUUCGCCGGGUAGCUAUGCCCGUAAGCGAUAACCGCUGAAGGCAUCUAAGCGGGAAGCGCGCCCUAAGAUUAGACCUCCCAUCCCGUUAAGGGAGUAAGGCCGGUCCGAGAACAGGACCUUGAUAGGCCGGUGGUGUAAGCGCCGCAAGGCGUUGAGCCAACCGGUACUAAUCGGCCGAGGCCUUGACC